rnacentral:rRNA from 1 species
AUUGAACGCUGGCGGCAGGCCUAACACAUGCAAGUCGAACGAGUGGCGGACGGGUGAGUAAUGUCUGGGAAACUGCCCGAUGGAGGGGGGUAACUACUGGAAACGGUAGCUAAUACCUCAUACCAUCCGUUGUGCCCAGAUGGGAUUAGCUAGUAGGUGGGGUAACGGCUCACCUAGGCUACGAUCCCUAGCUGGUUCGAGAGGAUGACCAGCCAAACGGGAACGGAGAAACGGUCGAGACUCCUACGGGGGGCAGCAGGGGGGAAUAUUGCACAAUGGGCGCAAGCCUGAUGCAGCCAGGCGGCGGGUAUGAAGAAGGCCUUCGGUUUGUAAAGUACUUUCAGCGAGGAGGCGUUACUCAAAGAAGAAGCACCGGCUAACUCCGUGCCAGCAGCCGCGGUAAUUC